AAUUGGUCAAGUCCUCUUGGCUUUGCUGGAAUAGUUACAAAGGUGAGGCAAGCUCUGGUUGGCAGCACUGGUGUCUAAAUGGCCGAAGCAGGCACUUCGUGUCUCAUUGCUCAAGAAUUAGACUCAACAGACCUGAAUGAAUACAGCUUAGCUAUCUCGAGUGCUGAUAUUUACCUGGAUGCAGCAAGCGGGGACGGCAAUGUGGAAAUGGACCUAGGAGAUCACAUAUCGACACCCACUCUAGAUGGGUUUUUUGAGGUCUCUGAAUCUUCGGUAGAUUUAAGUGGCGCAGGCGAUGCUGGUAUCCUGAUCGCAGGGGAUUUGACAUGUGAUGAUCUCUCCAACUCCGCCACACUGGUUACAUUACCUGAUGGAUCGCCAGCAAUAUUGGUCGGGCAACUCAAUCCAGGAGCUCCAGGUUAGUAGUACUUAUUGUUAGUUAUUUAAAGGGGACGGCAACCUUAUAAACAAGUUUGGCAAAAUCGACAAAGAAAAGUGUGCAAUGAAUGAUGCCAAAAUCCGUUUGCGGAUAUCUGCAUUCAUUGAGCCCCUAUCAAGAAAAAAUAGCUGAGCACGUGACGUCAUGAGCUCCAUCUCGCGUAUCGCAGUCUGCACUCUGCAUUCUGUCUCCGGUGUCAAGUGGCGGAUGCGUGUUCGCACCAAGUUAUUAUUUCGCCCUGAUCUCGCUCGUUCCUGGCCGACUCUUUUUUCUUUGCUUAGGUGUGACUAUUAAGGCGACUUCGCAGCGCCAGACUGGGAGUUGUGUGCAUGUGAACCGCAGUUGCUCCAGGAGCGCAUGACGUCACCAGUCAGACUUACAAUCUUUUAUACCUCUGCCGAUUUUGCGAAUUUUUCAUUUGAGACAGAGCCAUUUUGCUUCUUAUACCCUCCCGCUUCAAUUUUUAAUACUAUCUCAUUUUCCAUUUUAGGGUUGCUGUCCCCUUUAAAUUUCACUCAACCAGCUCAAAUUUUACUAUAGAUCUGUCAGAAAAGAAAUACAUUCAUUAUGAAUCUAUGUAAAAUUUGUUCAACUUUUUGUGCAUUUUUCUCAGAAACUUCCAGAUCUUCAAGCUUGAAGUUAGCGUGCAUGCUAAUAUGACUGUUAGCUACAACUGAAACCAGA
rnacentral:lncRNA from 1 species